GAUGAACGCUGGCGGCGUGCCUAAUACAUGCAGGUCGAGCGAACGGACGAGAAGCUUGCUUCUCUGAUGUUAGCGGCGGACGGGUGAGUAACACGUGGAUAACCUACCUAUAAGACUGGGAUAACUUCGGGAAACCGGAGCUAAUACCGGAUAAUAUUUUGAACCGCAUGGUUCAAAAGUGAAAGACGGUCUUGCUGUCACUUAUAGAUGGAUCCGCGCUGCAUUAGCUAGUUGGUAAGUUAACGGCUUACCAAGGCAACGAUGCAUAGCCGACCUGAGAGGGUGAUCGGCCACACUGGAACUGAGACACGGUCCAGACUCCUACGGGAGGCAGCAGUAGGGAAUCUUCCGCAAUGGGCGAAAGCCUGACGGAGCAACGCCGCGUGAGUGAUGAAGGUCUUCGGAUCGUAAAACUCUGUUAUUAGGGAAGAACAUAUGUGUAAGUAACUGUGCACAUCUUGACGGUACCUAAUCAGAAAGCCACGGCUAACUACGUG
rnacentral:rRNA from 1 species